rnacentral:rRNA from 1 species
GACGAACGCUGGCGGCGUGCUUAACACAUGCAAGUCGAACGGAAAGGCCCGGCUUUUGUGGGGUGCUCGAGUGGCGAACGGGGGAGUAACACGUGAGUAACCUGCCCUUGACUUUGGGAGAACUUCAGGAAACUGGGGCUAAUCCCUGAUAGGAGCUCCUGCUGCAUGGUGGGGGUUGGAAAGGUUCGGCGGUUGGUGAUGGACUCGCGUCGUCUCAGCUUGGUGGUGGGGUAGUGGUUGACCAAGGCUUUGACGGGUAGCCGGCCUGAGAGGGUGACCGGCCCCACUGGGCCUGAGAUCAGGCCCAGACCCCUACGGGAGGCAUCAGUGCGGAAUAGUGUACUAUACGCGGAAGCCUGAUCCAGUAACGCCGUGUGCGGGAUGACGGGCUUCGCGUUGUGAACCGCAUUCCCCUGUGACGAGGCGUGAGUGACGGUAAUGGGUAAAGAAGCACCGGCUAACUACGUG